UACGUAGGGGGCAAGCGUUGUCCGGAUUUAUUGGGCGUAAAGAGCGUGUAGGCGGCCUGACAGGUCUGCUGUGAAAACUCGAGGCUCAACCUCGAGAUGUCGGCGGAAACCGUCUGGCUAGAGUACGGAAGAGGAGAGUGGAAUUCCUGGUGUAGCGGUGAAAUGCGCAGAUAUCAGGAAGAACACCUAUGGCGAAGGCAGCUCUCUGGGACGGUACUGACGCUGAGACGCGAAAGCGUGGGGAGCGAACAGG
rnacentral:rRNA from 1 species